rnacentral:rRNA from 1 species
UGCGGUUUGUCGCGUCUGCUGUGAAAACCCCAGGCUCAACCUCGGGCCUGCAUUGGGUACGGGCAGACUAAAGUGCGGUAGGGGAGAUUGGAAUUCCUGGUGUAGCGGUGGAAUGCGCAGAUAUCAGGAGGAACACCAAUGGCGAAGGCAGAUCUCUGGGCCGUAACUGACGCUGAGGAGCGAAAGCAUGGGGAGCGAACAGGAUUAUAUACCCUGGUAGUCCAUGCCGUAAACGUUGGGAACUAAAUGUGGGGACCAUUCCACGGUCUCCGUGUCGCACCUAACGCAUUAAGUUCCCCGCCUGGGGAGUACGGCCGCAAGGCUAAAACUCAAAGGAAUUGACGGGGGCCCGCACAAGCCGGCGGAGCAUGCGGAUUAAUUCGAUGCAACGCGAAGAACCUUACCAAGGCUUGACAUAUACCGGAAACGGCCAGAAAUGGUCGCCCCGCAAGGUCGGUAUACAGGUGGUGCAUGGUUGUCGUCAGCUCGUGUCGUGAGAUGUUGGGUUAAGUCCCGCAACGAGCGCAACCCUCGUCCUAUGUUGCCAGCACGUAAUGGUGGGAACUCAUGGGAUACUGCCGGGGUCAACUCGGAGGAAGGUGGGGAUGACGUCAAAUCAUCAUGCCCCUUAUGUCUUGGGCUUCACGCAUGCUACAAUGGCCGGUACAAAGGGCUGCAAUACCGCAAGGUGGAGCGAAUCCCAAAAAGCCGGUCUCAGUUCGGAUUGAGGUCUGCAACUCGACCUCAUGAAGUCGGAGUCGCUAGUAAUCGCAGAUCAGCAACGCUGCGGUGAAUACGUUCCCGGGCCUUGUACACACCGCCCGUCAAGUCAUGAAAGUCGGUAACACCCGAAGCCAGUGGCCGAACCCGUAAGGGACGGAGCUGUCGAAGGUGGGAUUGGUGAUUAGGACUAAGUCGUAACAAGGUAACCGUA